CAAAUGUUCUGUUAUCCUUGCUAUUCACAGCCUACACCCCUGUGCUCCUGAAAGGAGGGAAUUUGCCUUUUCUACCAGCACUGGAGUUUUCCUCUGCGCUUUCAAUUUUCAUCGUGCUGAUCUGGAGCUAAUGGCUGAACUCUGUGGGCACAAAAUCACCGUCCUAGCCCUGGCAUGGCACCCACAACAAAACAAAUGGGUCACUGGUGCUGAAGAUGGCACCAUUCAACUCUGGAGUAAAGAUGGUGGAUGUUGUGUCCGGAAUAUAAAAGCCCUCAGAGGAAUCACUUGUAUUUGCAUUGACCAGAUCAAUGGAUGUAUUAUGGCAGGAGACCACGAUACUAUCAGGUAGCCACAGGGAUUUAUGACCCCAAUUCUGGAGCACUGGUGCAAAGUUACACAGGACAUCAAGAUUCUAUCAAGGGUCUCAUCCAUGUCCCAGAAAUGAAGCAGUACGUGUCAGUUUCACUGGAUGGCACAGCACGCAUAUGGAAGGCCUACCAUCAAGGGAGGUAGCCCAAGUCCCAGUCAACUGAUGUUAUCAUUAUCCUACAUACCAUCUA